rnacentral:rRNA from 1 species
AUUGAACGCUGGCGGCAGGCCUAACACAUGCAAGUCGAGCGGAUGAAGGGAGCUUGCUCCUGGAUUCAGCGGCGGACGGGUGAGUAAUGCCCAGGAAUCUGCCUGGUAGUGGGGGAUAACGUCCGGAAACGGGCGCUAAUACCGCAUACGUCCUGAGGGAGAAAGUGGGGGAUCUUCGGACCUCACGCUAUCAGAUGAGCCUAGGUCGGAUUAGCUAGUUGGUGGGGUAAAGGCCUACCAAGGCGACGAUCCGUGACUGGUCUGAGAGGAUGAUCAGUCACACUGGAACUGAGACACGGUCCUGGCUCCUACGGGACGCAGCAGUCGGGAAUGUUGGACAGUGGGCGGGAGCCUGAUCCAGCGAUGCCGCGUGUGUGAAGAAGGUCUUCGGAUUGUAAAGCCCUCUAAGUGGGGAGGAAGGGCAUUAAGUUAAUACCUUGCUGUAUUGACGGUACCAACAGAAGAAGCACCGGCUAACUUCGUG